rnacentral:rRNA from 1 species
AUUGAACGCUGGCGGCAUGCUUUACACAUGCAAGUCGGACGAGUGGCGAACGGGUGAGUAAUAUAUCGGAACGUACCGAGUAAUGGGGGAUAACUAAUCGAAAGCUUAGCUAAUACCGCAUAUUACUCGAUCGGCCGAUACCUGAUUAGCUAGCUGGUGGGGUAAAGGCCUACCAAGGCGACGAUCAGUAGCGGGUCUGAGAGGAUGAUCCGCCACACUGGGACUGAGACACGGCCCAGACUCCUACGGGAGGCAGCAGUGGGGAAUGUUGGACAAUGGGCGCAAGCCUGAUCCAGCCAUGCCGCGUGUCUGAAGAAGGCCUUCGGGUUGUAAAGGACUUUUGUCAGGGAAGCGGUACCUGAAGAGUAAGCACCGGCUAACUCCGUGCCAGCCGCCGCGGUAAUAC